UGCAAGUCGAGGGGCAGCAUAAUGGAUAGCAAUAUCUAUGGUGGCGACCGGCGCACGGGUGCGUAACGCGUAUGCAACCUACCUUUAACAGGGGGAUAACACUGAGAAAUUGGUACUAAUACCCCAUAAUAUCAUAGAAGGCAUCUUUUAUGGUUGAAAAUUCCGAUGGUUAGAGAUGGGCAUGCGUUGUAUUAGCUAGUUGGUGGGGUAACGGCUCACCAAGGCGACGAUACAUAGGGGGACUGAGAGGUUAACCCCCCACACUGGUACUGAGACACGGACCAGACUCCUACGGGAGGCAGCAGUGAGGAAUAUUGGUCAAUGGACGCAAGUCUGAACCAGCCAUGCCGCGUGCAGGAUGACGGCUCUAUGAGUUGUAAACUGCUUUUGUACGAGGGUAAACGCAGAUACGUGUAUCUGUCUGAAAGUAUCGUACGAAUAAGGAUCGGCUAACUCCGUGCCAGCAGCCGCGGUAAUACGGAGGAUUCAAGCGUUAUCCGGAUUUAUUGGGUUUAAAGGGUGCGUAGGCGGUUUGAUAAGUUAGAGGUGAAAUUUCGGGGCUCAACCCUGAACGUGCCUCUAAUACUGUUGAGCUAGAGAGUAGUUGCGGUAGGCGGAAUGUAUGGUGUAGCGGUGAAAUGCUUAGAGAUCAUACAGAACACCGAUUGGCGAAGGCAGCUUACC
rnacentral:rRNA from 1 species